ACACAUGCAAGUCGAGCGGGGAGAGCGAUAGUUUACUAGAGUUUUCCUAGCGGCGGACGGGUGAGUAACACGUGAAGAACCUGCCUUACAGAGGGGGACAACAGCUGGAAACGGCUGCUAAUACCGCAUAACGUUUAGUUGGGGCAUCCCGAUUAAACCAAAGGAGCAAUCCGCUGUAAGAUGGCUUCGCGUCCGAUUAGACAGUUGGCGGGGUAACGGCCCACCAAAUCUACGAUCGGUAGCCGGACUGAGAGGUUGAACGGCCACAUUGGGACUGAGACACGGCCCAGACUCCUACGGGAGGCAGCAGUGGGGGAUAUUGCACAAUGGAGGAAACUCUGAUGCAGCGACGCCGCGUGAGGGAAGAAGGUUUUCGGAUUGUAAACCUCUGUCUUCGGUGACGAAAAUGACGGUAGCCGAGGAGGAAGCCACGGCUAACUACGUGCCAGCAGCCGCGGUAAUACGUAGGUGGCAAGCGUUGUCCGGAAUUACUGGGUGUAAAGGGAGCGUAGGCGGGAGUGCAAGUCGGCUGUCUAAACUAUGGGCUCAACCCAUAAUCGCGGCCGAAACUGUACUUCUUGAGUGAAGUAGAGGUAAGCGGAAUUCCUAGUGUAGCGGUGAAAUGCGUAAAUAUUAGGAGGAACACCAGUGGCGAAGGCGGCUUACUGGGCUUUAACUGACGCUGAGGCUCGAAAGCGUGGGUAGCAAACAGGAUUAGAUACCCUGGUAGUCCACGCCGUAAACGAUGAUUACUAGGUGUGGGGGGACUGACCCCUUCCGUGCCGGAGUUAACACAAUAAGUAAUCCACCUGGGGAGUACGACCGCAAGGUUGAAACUCAAAGGAAUUGACGGGGGCCCGCACAAGCAGUGGGGUAUGUGGUUUAAUUCGAAGCAACGCGAA
rnacentral:rRNA from 1 species